ACACCGGAGCCACACCCGGCUGUUUAAUAGCAUUACCUGCUGACCGGAUUAGUGACUGUGAACGGACAAAUGACAGAUGAAAGCAACACAAACGCAGUUAUCGGACCUU